rnacentral:rRNA from 1 species
UACGAAGGGGGCUAGCGUUGUUCGGAAUUACUGGGCGUAAAGGGCACGUAGGCGGAUUAGUAAGUCAGGGGUGAAAUCACGGGGCUCAACCUCGGAACUGCCUUUGAUACUGCUGUUCUCGAGUCCGGAAGAGGUGAGUGGAAUUCCUAGUGUAGAGGUGAAAUUCGUAGAUAUUAGGAAGAUCACCAGUGGCGAAGGCGGCUAACUGGACCGGUACUGACGCUGAGGUGCGAUAGCGUGGGGAGCAAACAGG